rnacentral:rRNA from 1 species
UGGGGAAUAUUGGACAAUGGGCGAAAGCCUGAUCCAGCCAUGCCGCGUGUGUGAAGAAGGUCUUCGGAUUGUAAAGCACUUUAAGUUGGGAGGAAGGGCAGUAAAUUAAUACUUUGCUGUUUUGACGUUACCGACAGAAUAAGCACCGGCUAACUCUGUGCCAGCAGCCGCGGUAAUACAGAGGGUGCAAGCGUUAAUCGGAAUUACUGGGCGUAAAGCGCGCGUAGGUGGUUCGUUAAGUUGGAUGUGAAAUCCCCGGGCUCAACCUGGGAACUGCAUUCAAAACUGACGAGCUAGAGUAUGGUAGAGGGUGGUG